CAUGCAGGCCGAGCAGUCGCGGAGGCUCACCAGCCUUCGAGGAAAGUCCGGACAUCACAGGGCAAGGUGGUCGGUAACGCCGACCCGGGGAAACCCGCGGGAAAGUGCCACAGAAAUGACACCGCCUAAGCCUGGGAUCCGUCUCAGGCCGGUAAGGGUGAAAUGGUGCGGUAAGAGCGCACCGGCGUCGCGGCGACGCGGCGGCCAGGUAAACCCCACCCGAUGCUAGACCAAGCAGGACCGUUCGUAGGUGGCCCGCCAAGGUCCGGGUAGGUCGCUCAGAUGGAUGAUUGCUCAGGGUCCGGCACCGCCGGACCGGGACAGAAUCCGGCUUACAGGCCUGCUACG
rnacentral:RNase_P_RNA from 1 species